rnacentral:rRNA from 1 species
UACGAAGGGGGCUAGCGUUGCUCGGAAUCACUGGGCGUAAAGCGCACGUAGGCGGCUUUUUAAGUCAGGGGUGAAAUCCUGGAGCUCAACUCCAGAACUGCCUUUGAUACUGAGAAGCUUGAGUCCGGGAGAGGUGAGUGGAACUGCGAGUGUAGAGGUGAAAUUCGUAGAUAUUCGCAGGAACACCAGUGGCGAAGGCGGCUUACUGGUCCUAACUGACGCUGAGGUGCGAAAGCGUGGGGAGCAAACAGG